UACCUUUUGGUUCGGAACAACACAGGGAAACUUGUGCUAAUACCGGAUAAGCCCUUACGGGGAAAGAUUUAUCGCCGAAAGAUUGGCCCGCGUCUGAUUAGCUAGUUGGUGAGGUAACGGCUCACCAAGGCGACGAUCAGUAGCUGGUCUGAGAGGAUGAUCAGCCACAUUGGGACUGAGACACGGCCCAAACCCCUACGGGAGGCAGCAGUGGGGAAUAUUGGACAAUGGGCGCAAGCCUGAUCCAGCCAUGCCGCGUGAGUGAUGAAGGCCCUAGGGUUGUAAAGCUCUUUUGUGCGGGAAGAUAAUGACGGUACCGCAAGAAUAAGCCCCGGCUAACUUCGUGCCAGCAGCCGCGGUAAUACGAAGGGGGCUAGCGUUGCUCGGAAUCACUGGGCGUAAAGGGUGCGUAGGCGGGUCUUUAAGUCAGGGGUGAAAUCCUGGAGCUCAACUCCAGAACUGCCUUUGAUACUGAGGAUCUUGAGUUCGGGAGAGGUGAGUGGAACUGCGAGUGUAGAGGUGGAAUUCGUAGAUAUUCGCAAGAACACCAGUGGCGAAGGCGGCUCACUGGCCCGUCAAAUGAAUUGA
rnacentral:rRNA from 1 species